AUUGAACGCUGGCGGCAUGCUUUACACAUGCAAGUCGAACGGCAGCACGAGUGCUUGCACUUGGUGGCGAGUGGCGGACGGGUGAGUAAUACAUCGGAACGUAUCCUUAAGUGGGGGAUAACGCAUCGAAAGAUGUGCUAAUACCGCAUAUUCUCUGUGGAGGAAAGUAGGGGAUCGAAAGACCUUAUGCUUAUGGAGCGGCCGAUGCCUGAUUAGCUUGUUGGUGGGGUAAUGGCCUACCAAGGCGACGAUCAGUAGUUGGUCUGAGAGGACGACCAGCCACACUGGGACUGAGACACGGCCCAGACUCCUACGGGAGGCAGCAGUGGGGAAUUUUGGACAAUGGGCGAAAGCCUGAUCCAGCAAUGCCGCGUGAGUGAAGAAGGCCUCGGUUGUAAGUACGUACUUUAGUUUAAGUAAGAAAAGGUUAAGUAGUACGUAAUAA
rnacentral:rRNA from 1 species